rnacentral:tRNA from 1 species
GGGAACAUAGCUUAAUUGGUUAGAGUAUUAGCCUGUCACGUUAAUGGUUGCGGGUUCAAAUCCCGUUGUUCUCG